rnacentral:rRNA from 1 species
AGGGUUUGAUCAUGGCUCAGGACGAACGCUGGCGGCAGGCCUAACACAUGCAAGUCGAACGGUAACAGGAAGCAGCUUGCUGCUUCGCUGACGAGUGGCGGACGGGUGAGUAAUGUCUGGGAAACUGCCUGAUGGAGGGGGAUAACUACUGGAAACGGUAGCUAAUACCGCAUAACGUCGCAAGACCAAAGAGGGGGACCUUCGGGCCUCUUGCCAUCGGAUGUGCCCAGGUGGGAUUAGCUAGUUGGUGAGGUAAUGGCUCACCAAGGCGACGAUCCCUAGCUGGUCUGAGAGGAUGAUCAGCCACACUGGAACUGAGACACGGUCCAGACUCCUACGGGAGGCAGCAGUGGGGAAUAUUGCACAAUGGGGGAAACCCUGAUGCAGCCAUGCCGCGUGUGUGAAGAAGGCCUUCGAGUUGUAAAGCACUUUCAGCGAGGAGGAAAGGUUGAUGCCUAAUACGUAUCAACUGUGACGUUACUCGCAGAAGAAGCACCGGCUAACUCCGUGCCAGCCGCCGCGGUAAUAC